rnacentral:rRNA from 1 species
UACGUAGGGUGCGAGCGUUGUCCGGAAUUAUUGGGCGUAAAGAGCUCGUAGGCGGUUUGUCGCGUCUGCUGUGAAAACUCGGGGCUUAACCCCGGGCCUGCAGUGGGUACGGGCAGACUAGAGUGCGGUAGGGGAGACUGGAAUUCCUGGUGUAGCGGUGAAAUGCGUAGAGAUGUGGAGGAACACCAAUGGCGAAGGCAGCCUUCUGGGCCAACACUGACGCUCAUGCACGAAAGCGUGGGGAGCAAACAGG